CUUUCUUUUAUGGUUGUGCUCUUCCUUUUUACAAGCCGCUAGAUACAGGUAGUUUCUGACAAUUACUGAUCUAUGUUUGUAUUGCUGAUGUACUUAGGGGGUAUGUAAAAAUCAUUUUAACAAAAGAAAUAGAUAUUUAAAAAUUUAAUACUAACUAUAUGGGAAAAGGGUCCAUUGUGAAAACAUAGUUUAUCUUUGGAUUCAAUGUUUGUCUUUGGUUUUACAAAGUAGCUUGUAUUUUAAGUAUUUUCUACAUAAUAUGGUAAAAAUGUAGAACAAUUGCAAUGCGUCAAUAAAAAGGGUUAAUUUUCUGAGAUCGGGAGAGCACA